AAAUUGAAGAGUUUGAUCAUGGCUCAGAUUGAACGCUGGCGGCAGGCCUAACACAUGCAAGUCGAACGGUAACAGGAAGCAGCUUGCUGCUUGCUGACGAGUGGCGGACGGGUGAGUAAUGUCUGGGAAACUGCCUGAUGGAGGGGGAUAACUACUGGAAACGGUGGCUAAUACCGCAUAACGUCGCAAGACCAAAGAGGGGGACCUUCGGGCCUCUUGCCAUCAGAUGUGCCCAGAUGGGAUUAGCUUGUUGGUGAGGUAACGGCUCACCAAGGCGACGAUCCCUAGCUGGUCUGAGAGGAUGACCAGCCACACUGGAACUGAGACACGGUCCAGACUCCUACGGGAGGCAGCAGUGGGGAAUAUUGCACAAUGGGCGCAAGCCUGAUGCAGCCAUGCCGCGUGUAUGAAGAAGGCCUUCGGGUUGUAAAGUACUUUCAGCGGGGAGGAAGGUGUUGUGGUUAAUAACCACAGCAAUUGACGUUACCCGCAGAAGAAGCACCGGCUAACUCCGUGCCAGCAGCCGCGGUAAUACGGAGGGUGCAAGCGUUAAUCGGAAUUACUGGGCGUAAAGCGCACGCAGGCGGUCUGUCAAGUCGGAUGUGAAAUCCCCGGGCUCAACCUGGGAACUGCAUUCGAAACUGGCAGGCUUGAGUCUUGUAGAGGGGGGUAGAAUUCCAGGUGUAGCGGUGAAAUGCGUAGAGAUCUGGAGGAAUACCGGUGGCGAAGGCGGCCCCCUGGACAAAGACUGACGCUCAGGUGCGAAAGCGUGGGGAGCAAACAGGAUUAGAUACCCUGGUAGUCCACGCCGUAAACGAUGUCUACUUGGAGGUUGUGCCCUUGAGGCGUGGCUUCCGGAGCUAACGCGUUAAGUAGACCGCCUGGGGAGUACGGCCGCAAGGUUAAAACUCAAAUGAAUUGACGGGGGCCCGCACAAGCGGUGGAGCAUGUGGUUUAAUUCGAUGCAACGCGAAGAACCUUACCUGGUCUUGACAUCCACAGAACUUUCCAGAGAUGGAUUGGUGCCUUCGGGAACUGUGAGACAGGUGCUGCAUGGCUGUCGUCAGCUCGUGUUGUGAAAUGUUGGGUUAAGUCCCGCAACGAGCGCAACCCUUAUCCUUUGUUGCCAGCGGUUAGGCCGGGAACUCAAAGGAGACUGCCAGUGAUAAACUGGAGGAAGGUGGGGAUGACGUCAAGUCAUCAUGGCCCUUACGACCAGGGCUACACACGUGCUACAAUGGCGCAUACAAAGAGAAGCGACCUCGCGAGAGCAAGCGGACCUCAUAAAGUGCGUCGUAGUCCGGAUUGGAGUCUGCAACUCGACUCCAUGAAGUCGGAAUCGCUAGUAAUCGUGGAUCAGAAUGCCACGGUGAAUACGUUCCCGGGCCUUGUACACACCGCCCGUCACACCAUGGGAGUGGGUUGCAAAAGAAGUAGGUAGCUUAACCUUCGGGAGGGCGCUUACCACUUUGUGAUUCAUGACUGGGGUGAAGUCGUAACAAGGUAACCGUAGGGGAACCUGCGGUUGGAUCACCUCCUUACCUUAAAG
rnacentral:rRNA from 1 species